rnacentral:rRNA from 1 species
UACGUAGGCAGCGAGCGUUGUUCGGAAUUACUGGGCGUAAAGAGUGUGUAGGCGGUGCUCUAAGUUCGGUGUGAAAUCUCCUGGCUCAACUGGGAGGGUGCGCCGGAAACUGGAGUGCUUGAGCGUGGGAGAGGAAAGCGGAAUUCCUGGUGUAGCGGUGAAAUGCGUAGAUAUCAGGAGGAACACCCGUGGUGUAGACGGCUUUCUGGACCAUAGCUGACGCUGAGACACGAAAGCGUGGGUAGCAAACAGG